CACAACCAUGAACAGUGGAUCACUCGGCUCGUGUAUCGAUGAAGAACGUGGCAAAAUGCGAUAAGUAAUGCGAUUCGCAAGCCUAGUGAGUCAUCAAAUUUUUGAACGCAAAUGGCACCUAUGAUAACCUCAUGGGUAUGUCUGGUUGAGGGUCUAAUGAUAAUGUAUAAAAUAUA
rnacentral:rRNA from 1 species